UGAGUACGAGAUGCUACGGCAUCGAAGCAGUCUGUGUCAUACUUCCAAGAAAAGCUUGCACUGUCAUAAACAAAGAAUGCCUGUACCAUAACCGACACAGGUGGGUAGGUAGAGUAUACUAAGGGGCGCGAGAUAACUCUCUCUAAGGAACUCGGCAAAAUGACUCCGUAACUUCGGGAGAAGGAGUGCCUUAUUUCUAAGGUUGCAAUAACAAGAUCCAAACAACUGUUUACCAAAAACACAGGUCUCCGCUAAGUCGUAAGACGAUGUAUGGGGCUGACGCCUGCCCAGUGCCAGAAGGUUAAAGAAGUUGGUUAGCAUUAGCGAAGCUGAUAACUGAAGCCCUGGUGAACGGCGGCCGUAACUAUAACGGUCCUAAGGUAGCGAAAUUCCUUGUCGGGUAAGUUCCGACCCGCACGAAAGGCGUAAUGAUUUGGAUACUGUCUCGGAGAGGGGCUCGGUGAAAUAGACUUGUCUGUGAAGAUGCGGACUACCUGCACCUGGACAGAAAGACCCUAUGAAGCUUUACUGUAACCUGAGAUUGAAAUUGGACUUUAUUUGCGCAGUAUAGGUGGGAGGCGUUGAGAAUAAUCUUGCGGGAUUGUUGGAGCCAUCAGUGAGAUACCACUCUUGUAAUGUUAGAUUUCUAACUUUGUAUCAUUAUCUGGUCAAAGAACAGUUUCAGGCGGGCAGUUUGACUGGGGCGGUCGCCUCCCAAAGGGUAACGGAGGCGCACAAAGGUUUCCUCUGAACGGGUAGAAAUCGUAUCUAGAGUGUAAAGGCAUAAGGAAGCUUGACUGUGAGACCUACAAGUCGAGCAGGGACGAAAGUCGGUCUUAGUGAUCUGACGGUGCUGAGUGGAAAGGCCGUCACUCAACGGAUAAAAGUUACUCUAGGAUAACAGGCUGAUCUCCCCCAAGAGUUCACAUCGACGGGGAGGUUUGGCACCUCGAUGUCGGCUCAUCGCAUCCUGGGGCGGUAGUCCGUCCCAAGGGUUGGGCUGUUCGCCCAUGAAAGCGGUACGCGAGCUGGGUUCAGAACGUCGUGAGACAGUUCGGUCCAUAUCCGGUGUAGGCGUUAGAAUAUUGAGAGGAGCCUUCUCUAGUACGAGAGGACCGAGAAGGACAUACCUCUGGUGUACCAGUUAUCGUGCCAACGGUAAACGCUGGGUAGCUAUGUAUGGAGUGGAUAACCGCUGAAAGCAUCUAAGUGGGAAGCCCACCUCAAGAUAAGUAUUCUCA
rnacentral:rRNA from 1 species